CAGUAGCACGGUAAUACGUAGGGUGCAAGCGUUGUCCGGAAUUAUUGGGCGUAAAGAGCUCGUAGGCGGUUUGUCGCGUCUGCUGUGAAAUCCCGAGGCUCAACCUCGGGCUUGCAGUGGGUACGGGCAGACUAGAGUGCGGUAGGGGAGAUUGGAAUUCCUGGUGUAGCGGUGGAAUGCGCAGAUAUCAGGAGGAACACCGAUGGCGAAGGCAGAUCUCUGGGCCGUAACUGACGCUGAGGAGCGAAAGCGUGGGGAGCGAACAGGAUUAGAUACCCCCGUAGUCCCUGUCUCUUAUACA
rnacentral:rRNA from 1 species